GAGGGCAUGGCUCAGGUGGUAGAGCAGGUAGUCUAGGAAUCGGAAGGUCCCUGGUUUGAUCCCUGCCUCCUCCA